CCCGCCCAUCGAGGGCGAAGGCAUUUAGGAAGAAGAGAAAGGGCGGGGAGAAGACUGAGGAUUGAGUGCAAAGAGACGUUGAAGAGGACAGAGGAAUAGCUGACCCUGGAGCCCUGGCGCUCAAGAACCUCACCAGAAAGGGACUCCUAGUCUGAUCCCACCCCGGUCCCGGACAGGCAGCCAAGUCGAGGCCUUGCGGACACCGCUGGGGAGCCGCAGAGUGUGAAGUUUAGCACCUCCGCCGGCUGGCGAGACAGUGCGUUCCAGCGUGCAGUUCCAGCGGCCAGUUGGGGGAGCUGCUGCGCCCUCACGGCCUCCGGAGGGCGCCGCCGGCGGGUCCGCGAGCUCCGUGGGGUCGGGAUGUGGACCUGGCAGGAGAGGACGUCCCUAGUUGGAGGGUCAGGAGUGCUCCUGGCCUGGGGUGUGUCCGGGUCGUUCCCGCACCCCCCCCCCCGCCCCCCGGGCUUCUGAAGGACAGUGAGCAGGAAGUUUGCGCAAUCCCUUGGCUGAGUGUCCCCGAGAAAGAAAAAGAGCAAAAGUUGCCCGAGAGUGGAGCGAGCAGCCGGGUGGGGGGCGGAGGCAGCCAAAGAGCCAUCGGGUCUCCACUCCAGCCUUGACACACGUCCCAGAAUGCCGGGUGGGGACUGCAUCACUGCAGCCAGGGAAGAACGAAAUGUAGAAGGGAACCCCCAAAGCCUGCCGGGGCUCGUGUUCUCCCAGAAAUCCACGAGGAACCUGCAGGGGGUCUGGUGUUAAACACGCAUGUUGAUUCCACCA